UUAUGAAUAAAAGAAUUAUGAAGUAGUAAAUUUGAAACUUAAAAUUUUGACAGUAUUUAAUUAUUCUAGAGGAAUAUGUGAUUUAAUCGAUAACACCCGAAGAUUUCACUUAUUUUUUUUUUGUAUAUCUCCGUUGCCAGAUAUUAUUUGAAGUUAAUGUAAUUUUCUUAAGAUUUUUAGAUAAAACAUCAGGUCAAGGUGCAAAAUAGAUAAGUUAUUAUGUAUUACAUUCAAGUAUAUUGAUAAAUGGAUUUAAUAUUGAAAUAUUUUUUGAAACUGAAUCUAUAAGGGAAGGGAAUUAAAGUUUUUGCUUGAAAUAAUAUUAAAUAUGU
rnacentral:rRNA from 1 species